GCUUGCAAUGCAGUUAUCUCACUUAAGUACUGAGAUACAUAUUACGCUGGAGUCCACCAUUUUCUGGGAAAUUUUGUUGUUGAUUAGGAUGAUCAGAACACUUUAGCAUGUGCCACUUGGACCAUCAUGAGGAAGAAAAAUUGAUUAUGAAAAGUUGUCUAGAAAUGAAUGGCUAUGAUUGCAUUAUUAUGACUGAGUUUACUGCAGGAGUUCCCUUGAGAUGUCUGGCCUCUCUGAGUCUAGGUUAUUGUUACUUGAAUGACAGAUGCAAACGCAUAAGAACAUCCCUUGGAAUAAAGUGAAUAAGGAACUUGUUAUCCUCCUGGAAACAUUAUUUCUGGAUAGGAACUUCUGCUCAGUCUUUGCUCUUUUAAUUUCUUAUAAAAGCUUCAUGUUGUUCAACCAGGAAAUGCAUCUUCUAUUGAAGAA
rnacentral:misc_RNA from 1 species